rnacentral:rRNA from 1 species
UAACGAGCGCAACCCUUACCGUUAGUUACCAUCAGGUUAAGCUGGGGACUCUAGCGGGACUGCCACCGUAAGGUGAGAGGAAGGUGGGGAUGACGUCAAAUCAGCACGGCCCUUAUGUCCAGGGCUACACACGUGUUACAAUGGCCGGUACAAAGGGCAGCUACUUCGCGAGAAGAUGCUAAUCUCGAAAGCCGGUCUCAGUUCGGAUCGAAGUCUGCAACCCGACUUCGUGAAGCUGGAUUCGCUAGUAAUCGCGCAUCAGCCAUGGCGCGGUGAAUACGUUCCCGGGCCUU